GGAGGUUGAUAUAAUUGCAGCAUUAACUAUUAUUAUUAAUAACGUAUAUUCCAAAAUUUUAACUAUGCAAAUAUUAGAGAAUGUUAGAGAUAUUUUAGACACUCACGUAGUUGAAAUGAAUAACGCAAAAAAUUUAUUUAAAAGACUUCAAAUAAAAGAGACAAGUAACAAUUUGAGUGAUAAGACUAAUUUAAAUUUCAAGUUUUAUAACAAAAUGGUCCAAAAGAUAUCAAUUCGCAACAAUCAAAUCGACAGACAGAAACAUUAUUUUCAAUAUUUUCUCCUCUAAUCGGUGGGUGUAAAAGAAUAUCAGCUUUGCAUGGACAUACUUC